rnacentral:rRNA from 1 species
AACGAACGCUGGCGGCAGGCCUAACACAUGCAAGUCGAACGCGUCCUUCGGGACGAGUGGCAGACGGGUGAGUAACGCGUGGGAACGUACCCUUUGGUUCGGAACAACAGCGGGAAACUGCUGCUAAUACCGGAUAAGCCCUUCGGGGAAGAUUUAUCGCCAGAGGAUCGGCCCGCGUUAGAUUAGCUUGUUGGUGAGGUAAUGGCUCACCAAGGCUACGAUCUAUAGCUGGUCUGAGAGGAUGAUCAGCCACACUGGGACUGAGACACGGCCCAGACUCUUACGGGAGGCAGCAGUGGGGAAUCUUGGACAAUGGGCGAAAGCCUGAUCCAGCCAUGCCGCGUGAAUGAUGAAGGCCCUAGGGUUGUAAAAUUCUUUCGACGGGGAAGAUAAUGACUGUACCUGGAGAAUAAGCCCCGGCUAACUUCGUGCCAGCAGCCGCGGUAAU